UCCCCAAUGAUGUCAGUCUAGAGCAGCCCCUUCAGAACAAUUGCAGUAAUGACACAAGGGAUCACGGUCAUGUCAGGUCUGCCAGAAUAGAUUUUUUAAUUGCUGUUUGUGGUUUUUUUUUUGUCACCCGCUUUGUAGACACAUUUAAUUACAGAUGCAACUUAAGUCAUUUAUAUGUCUUUCUGACUGACAGAUAUAUUGGUUUAUGUCCUAGCUGCAAAAUUAUGCCCACAGAAUGCCAAAGAAAAAGAAACACAUUUUCAAAAAAUUCAGUUGAUCUUAAUAAGUUUACCACUGUUUGUUACCCAUACUGUUUGUGAGACAACACUGAAAUGUGGAUGAGGCAAGCACCAAUAUCACUCAUGGAAAUUUUCACCAGAGUUACACCAGCACGUGUCAUCUUAUUGCCGUGGUUUUAUUCUUAUAACAAUAGUUAUGCUUCAAUACUAGUAAAAAACAAUUCUAGUCAAGUUUGUGACUCUUCUUGGCCAUGCCUGGACUCCAGAGGAGUCAGUGGUUGGUCCCUCCUGGAGGGGUGAUGCAGAGUGGUGCUGAGCCCCUGAAAUACUCACAGGCACGUUCUAGGAGCCAAACUCGGUUCCACAUAGUCUGGGAUGAGUUUGUAGCUAUUGAUAUAGUCAGCAAAGUGUUCUGUACAAAUCAAAGCAGAAAUUGCUCUAUGCUUUAGGUUCAAGCAUAGAAAAGAAAUAAUUGAUUUUGUUCUUUAGUAAAUACUCUGAUUUAAUUUAUGAGAAUUGGAAAAGGUCAUCAUGUAUUCAUCUGUACCAGCCCUUUUACCUGGGCAGAGUUAAGACACAGAAGACCCGCAAGAGAGAUGGGAAUAAUUUAUAUAUGAGAUGGAAAGGCAAGAGAAAAAGAAAUCAGUUCAGUUAGAAUAUUCCAAAGCAAAUUCAUGCUCUACUGAAGGAUCAAGUACAAGGACUUUGAACGUUUGGGUUAGCUGGGGGACAUUAUCUGAAUUAGAUCCACUUGAAAGGGUGAAAAAGCAUCACUACUCUACCCAGUAAUGCCAUAAGUCUUCAGCUUUUGUGGUUGCUGUUAUUAAUGCAGUAUCUUGCUUUCAAUAAGUAAUGUUUACAUUUCAAUUUUAGCUUCCACCAGAGCUCACAGUUCGCAUAUUUUUGUAGCUGUUAAAUUCCAUUGCAGUGAAGUCCUGUUUAAUUCUUUCUCUUGAGUCUGCUAUGUAAUCUUGAUUUCUUAAGCAUAUUUUUUAGCUCUUGUAUUCUCUUAUUAGACUCGGGAUAUUAUGACAUUUUCAAAAUGCUUUCUAUUUAUAACUUAACAUUAUAGAAUGUCAAGAAGAAUCAAAAGCAUAGAGAGAUGACAGAGAAAAAUCCCAUUUAAAUGAUCUUUCCAGGUCACAUUUCUGAGUUUUGCUUAAAAUGCCUUCUUCAGGAGCUAAAAUUGCCUUUUUAGAAAGUGAAACAU
rnacentral:lncRNA from 1 species